UGGAAUUCGACUAAUUUCGGUUUCACGUGAACUGAAGGCCAUUAUCCAUUUGGACACCAAACGGUAAACUUUGUCUUGGUGAUAAUGCGAAUAGAUUCAAUUCAUAACGAAGCUGAACGUCUACAGAGGCGAAAGAGAUGUAAACAAGCGUUGAUAAGUGAGAAAACCAUCUUCAAAGAUUCUUGAUCAGAUGCCAGAAAUUGCCAGUGCCCAUAACUGAAAAUAUUACCAUCCCGUGUGUCAUUCUUACUACAGCGGUAUACAGCCUAUAACAAAUUCUCCGACAAAUGUAAGCUGGCUUCCAGUUGAUGGUGUGUCUAGACAAGCUUCUCUGACAGACGUCUGCGACAAAGCAACACAAUGGUCAAAGAUAUGUGUAAGGAAUGUGGUGGAGUGUCUCCUGAAAGGUGUUGCACAAGGAAAGAUGGUCCUCAACGCCACCAGUUUUCCUUGCUGCCCGCCCCAAAGGAUCAUCGCGCUGCCCCCGAGGCAACACCACCAGCAAGAAGGAGCGACUUGCCAACCCAGGUUCCGGUUCGGAAUCCCUGGGGACCUGUGCUCCAGAGUCGAAGCAACUUUCUUGAGAUGCAUCUCUGCUAAGAGGAAGUUCUCAGUCUGAACUUCCACUAGACUUGCCAUUACAACAUGAUGUUUCAUUUAUGCAUUAUGUUCAUUGAUAUUGAAAACUGGACCAGCAAACACCUUUAUCCAGAUAUUUUUGAUACAGCCUCUUUGGCAAGAUCUCCUGGAAUUCCUUGGUUUGGUUGCUGAACAUUUUGCAGAUUUUACAGAACACCGUUAGUUGUACACGUGAACUAUUUCAUCUCAGUAGGGCAAGAUAGAGACUACCAAUUAGCAAUUUCAUCAUCAUCAUCAGGAAUUUCAUCAUCAUCAACAUCAGGAAUUUCAUUCAUCAUCAUCAUCAUCAUCAUCAUCUCUUUUUCCAUGUCAUUAUAUGAUUGAACAUUCCAAACAUAGGCUUUUCUAUGAAUAUACAAUUGAAUCACAUUCAUCCCAAUUUUUAGGUCACCUGAGCUUUGCUCAAGUGACCUAUUCCAAUCGCUUUUCGUCCGUCGUCGUCCGUCGUCCGU